rnacentral:tRNA from 1 species
CGGGAUGUAACGCAGCUUGGUAGCGCACCUGGCUGGGGGCCAGGGGGUCGCAGGUUCAAAUCCUGUCAUCCCGA